UCGAAUCACAGACUCAAUUCGAUUUUGAGCAAACCAAUGAAGCAAAAAUCACAAAUACACAGACCCAUGAAGCUAAUGAAGAAAUUAGUGAAGAAGAAGAAGAUGAUGAAGAGCCACAAAGCCUAUAUGAAGCUAAAGAAGAAAUUAGUGAAGAAGAUGAUGAGCCACAAAGCCUAGAUGAAGCUAAUGAAGAAAUUAGAAAAAGAAGAAGAUGAAGAGCCACAAAGCCUAGAUGAGGUUUACAGUCAGC
rnacentral:lncRNA from 1 species